rnacentral:rRNA from 1 species
GGUUAAGCGACUAAGCGUACACGGUGGAUGCCCUGGCAGUCAGAGGCGAUGAAGGACGUGCUAAUCUGCGAUAAGCGUCGGUAAGGUGAUAUGAACCGUUAUAACCGGCGAUUUCCGAAUGGGGAAACCCAGUGUGAUUCGUCACACUAUCAUUAACUGAAUCCAUAGGUUAAUGAGGCGAACCGGGGGAACUGAAACAUCUAAGUACCCCGAGGAAAAGAAAUCAACCGAGAUUCCCCCAGUAGCGGCGAGCGAACGGGGAGGAGCCCAGAGCCUGAAUCAGUGUGUGUGUUAGUGGAAGCGUCUGGAAAGGCGCGCGAUACAGGGUGACAGCCCCGUACACAAAAAUGCACAUGCUGUGAGCUCGAUGAGUAGGGCGGGACACGUGGUAUCCUGUCUGAAUAUGGGGGGACCAUCCUCCAAGGCUAAAUACUCCUGACUGACCGAUAGUGAACCAGUACCGUGAGGGAAAGGCGAAAAGAACCCCGGCGAGGGGAGUGAAAAAGAACCUGAAACCGUGUACGUACAAGCAGUGGGAGCUUUUUUUUUUGUGACUGCGUACCUUUUGUAUAAUGGGUCAGCGACUUAUAUUCUGUAGCAAGGUUAACCGAAUAGGGGAGCCGAAGGGAAACCGAGUCUUAACUGGGCGUUAAGUUGCAGGGUAUAGACCCGAAACCCGGUGAUCUAGCCAUGGGCAGGUUGAAGGUUGGGUAACACUAACUGGAGGACCGAACCGACUAAUGUUGAAAAAUUAGCGGAUGACUUGUGGCUGGGGGUGAAAGGCCAAUCAAACCGGGAGAUAGCUGGUUCUCCCCGAAAGCUAUUUAGGUAGCGCCUCGUGAAUUCAUCUCCGGGGGUAGAGCACUGUUUCGGCAAGGGGGUCAUCCCGACUUACCAACCCGAUGCAAACUGCGAAUACCGGAGAAUGUUAUCACGGGAGACACACGGCGGGUGCUAACGUCCGUCGUGAAGAGGGAAACAACCCAGACCGCCAGCUAAGGUCCCAAAGUCAUGGUUAAGUGGGAAACGAUGUGGGAAGGCCCAGACAGCCAGGAUGUUGGCUUAGAAGCAGCCAUCAUUUAAAGAAAGCGUAAUAGCUCACUGGUCGAGUCGGCCUGCGCGGAAGAUGUAACGGGGCUAAACCAUGCACCGAAGCUGCGGCAGCGACACUGUGUGUUGUUGGGUAGGGGAGCGUUCUGUAAGCCUGUGAAGGUGUGCUGUGAGGCAUGCUGGAGGUAUCAGAAGUGCGAAUGCUGACAUAAGUAACGAUAAAGCGGGUGAAAAGCCCGCUCGCCGGAAGACCAAGGGUUCCUGUCCAACGUUAAUCGGGGCAGGGUGAGUCGACCCCUAAGGCGAGGCCGAAAGGCGUAGUCGAUGGGAAACAGGUUAAUAUUCCUGUACUUGGUGUUACUGCGAAGGGGGGACGGAGAAGGCUAUGUUGGCCGGGCGACGGUUGUCCCGGUUUAAGCGUGUAGGCUGGUUUUCCAGGCAAAUCCGGAAAAUCAAGGCUGAGGCGUGAUGACGAGGCACUACGGUGCUGAAGCAACAAAUGCCCUGCUUCCAGGAAAAGCCUCUAAGCAUCAGGUAACAUCAAAUCGUAUUUUUUUUUUCCCCAAACCGACACAGGUGGUCAGGUAGAGAAUACCAAGGCGCUUGAGAGAACUCGGGUGAAGGAACUAGGCAAAAUGGUGCCGUAACUUCGGGAGAAGGCACGCUGAUAUGUAGGUGAAGUCCCUCGCGGAUGGAGCUGAAAUCAGUCGAAGAUACCAGCUGGCUGCAACUGUUUAUUAAAAACACAGCACUGUGCAAACACGAAAGUGGACGUAUACGGUGUGACGCCUGCCCGGUGCCGGAAGGUUAAUUGAUGGGGUCAGCGCAAGCGAAGCUCUUGAUCGAAGCCCCGGUAAACGGCGGCCGUAACUAUAACGGUCCUAAGGUAGCGAAAUUCCUUGUCGGGUAAGUUCCGACCUGCACGAAUGGCGUAAUGAUGGCCAGGCUGUCUCCACCCGAGACUCAGUGAAAUUGAACUCGCUGUGAAGAUGCAGUGUACCCGCGGCAAGACGGAAAGACCCCGUGAACCUUUACUAUAGCUUGACACUGAACAUUGAGCCUUGAUGUGUAGGAUAGGUGGGAGGCUUUGAAGUGUGGACGCCAGUCUGCAUGGAGCCGACCUUGAAAUACCACCCUUUAAUGUUUGAUGUUCUAACGUGGACCCGUGAUCCGGGUUGCGGACAGUGUCUGGUGGGUAGUUUGACUGGGGCGGUCUCCUCCUAAAGAGUAACGGAGGAGCACGAAGGUUGGCUAAUCCUGGUCGGACAUCAGGAGGUUAGUGCAAUGGCAUAAGCCAGCUUGACUGCGAGCGUGACGGCGCGAGCAGGUGCGAAAGCAGGUCAUAGUGAUCCGGUGGUUCUGAAUGGAAGGGCCAUCGCUCAACGGAUAAAAGGUACUCCGGGGAUAACAGGCUGAUACCGCCCAAGAGUUCAUAUCGACGGCGGUGUUUGGCACCUCGAUGUCGGCUCAUCACAUCCUGGGGCUGAAGUAGGUCCCAAGGGUAUGGCUGUUCGCCAUUUAAAGUGGUACGCGAGCUGGGUUUAGAACGUCGUGAGACAGUUCGGUCCCUAUCUGCCGUGGGCGCUGGAGAACUGAGGGGGGCUGCUCCUAGUACGAGAGGACCGGAGUGGACGCAUCACUGGUGUUCGGGUUGUCAUGCCAAUGGCACUGCCCGGUAGCUAAAUGCGGAAGAGAUAAGUGCUGAAAGCAUCUAAGCACGAAACUUGCCCCGAGAUGAGUUCUCCCUGACCCUUUAAGGGUCCUGAAGGAACGUUGAAGACGACGACGUUGAUAGGCCGGGUGUGUAAGCGCAGCGAUGCGUUGAGCUAACCGGUACUAAUGAACCGUGAGGCUUAACCUUAC